AUGAACGCUGGCGGCGUGCCUAAUACAUGCAAGUCGAGCGAACAGACGAGGAGCUUGCUCCUCUGACGUUAGCGGCGGACGGGUGAGUAACACGUGGAUAACCUACCUAUAAGACUGGGAUAACUUCGGGAAACCGGAGCUAAUACCGGAUAAUAUAUUGAACCGCAUGGUUCAAUAGUGAAAGACGGUUUUGCUGUCACUUAUAGAUGGAUCCGCGCCGCAUUAGCUAGUUGGUAAGGUAACGGCUUACCAAGGCAACGAUGCGUAGCCGACCUGAGAGGGUGAUCGGCGACACUGGAACUGAGACACGGUCCAGACUCCUACGGGAGGCAGCAGUAGGGAAUCUUCCGCAAUGGGCGAAAGCCUGACGGAGCAACGCCGCGUGAGUGAUGAAGGUCUUCGGAUCGUAAAACUCUGUUAUUAGGGAAGAACAAAUGUGUAAGUAACUAUGCACGUCUUGACGGUACCUAAUCAGAAAGCCACGGCUAACUACGUG
rnacentral:rRNA from 1 species